AUUCAACUGACGAGUCCCAAAUGGAACGAAAUGUGCGCCCUGGAU
rnacentral:hammerhead_ribozyme from 1 species